CUCUCUCUCACACAACACAACUACUUGCUCUCAUUUCUCCUCCCUCACGGAGGGACGAUUUUGUUGGUCCGAUUCCACCGUUGUACCGCCUGAAAUCCAAAGUUGAUUCACGAACUUGGACUAUUUCAUUUUGACCAGCCCUAAGUUAUUUAAUGCAGUUGAUCAUGUUAUUCUUCCUAAUGGCAAUGGCCUAAAGACGAUUUUGUGUAAAUCCAAAGUUGCCACCGCCUGAAAUCCAAAGUAGCCACUGCUGACUAUUACAUUCUCACCAGGAUGAAGAUAAAUAAUGUGUAAGAAGAUUAGAGAUUAUGAAUAAGAGGUUGAAGGAGCAUUAGAAGAUGCUUGCCGACAUCAAAUUGGGCAUUAAAUAAGCACAAAGUGCAUGUGAUUUCUUAGAUUUGCAAAUGUAAUUUUGCAUGAGUACCAUGUCUUCGCAAACUAACUUCAUGACUCCUCAAUGAUGAACUUCUGGAAUGGGUUGUGAUUCUUGGCAAUAGUUUCCCUAUAACCAGUUGUAUUGUAUUGACAAUGUUUAUAAUUCGUUCAAAAUGAGUUUUGACCCUUCUUUUUUUCAAAUUA